CACGUAGGGCGCAAGCGUUGUCCGGAAUUAUUGGGCGUAAAGAGCUCGUAGGCGGUCUGUUACGUCUGCUGUGAAAACCCGGGGCUUAACCCUGGGCUUGCAGUGGAUACGGGCAGACUAGAGGCAGGUAGGGGAGAAUGGAAUUCCCGGUGUAGCGGUGAAAUGCGCAGAUAUCAGGAGGAACACCGGUGGCGAAGGCGGGUCUCUGGGCCGAUACUGACGCUGAGGAGCGAAAGCGUGGGGAGCGAACGGG
rnacentral:rRNA from 1 species